CACUCUAAGACCCCAGCCCCCUCCCCAGGUUAAGACUCCCCACCCCCCUACCCACAGGCACCACAGCAAAGCACCCCAGCCUGGGGCUUGAACAACAGAUACUAAGUCCUCACGGUCCCAGAGGCUGAAGUCGAGGUGUGGGCACUGAGGCCUCUGUCCUUGGCCUCGUGGGCGUCCACCGUCUCCCCGUGUCCUCACGUGGCCGCCCGUGCGUGUCCGUGUUCUCAUCUCCUUAUAAGGACACUGGUCAGACUGCUUCAGGGCCACCCCAGUGACCUCAUGUCACCUUAGUCCCCUCUUUGAAGGGUUUUUCUCCAAAUGCAUCCCAUCCUGAGGUGCUGGGGAUCAGCCCCCCAAUGCCUGAAAUAUAAGGGACCGACUUCCGCCCCCAGCGCUCCCAGGGAGGCAGGUGUCAGAAAACAGCGUGGACUGGAAAGCUAGCCCGGCUGGGGCUCAGACCUGGAUUUGGUCACUUUCCAGCUGGGAUAAGUCUUGUCCCCUUUCAGAGCCCCGGUUCCCUCCUCUGAACUUGAUGGGCUUCACAAGUGUCCAGUACGAAUGAUGCUUUUGGGUUUCUGCAAUGAACGGUACCCAGCACGCAGCCCGUGCUCCAUAAAUAACACUAAAUUCCUGGCUCCCGGGGGCGGAGGCCAGUCCUAGUGGGGGGCUUUGGAGGUGCCCAUCCAUCCCCCUGGCCAUGGGAGUGAGGAGGCCCCCUCACUGACUGCACGUGACUUGUGAAAAAACCUGAGACUGACCAAGGUGGGGUCCCUGCUCAAGGUCACAUGGCUGGGAGACGGGGGCCGGGAGCUGGGCUGGGUCUGUGUCGCAGGCAUGGCUGUGCCCUGAGAGGGGAGAAACGGGGGCUCAUCUGUUCACCCCCUCACCACGCCCAGCAAGGCCCUUCCUAGAAUGUAUUCUCCAUCAGCGAUGCUUCAGUUGCAUCCAAGUGCCUUGAAACAGGCAAGAAACAGGGCGGGGAGAAGGAGGGCUGUGGCGUGGAUUUUGCUCUCUGGGUCAUCUUCUGAAGAAUGUCUUGACACAUCUCACAAGGCCCCUCGAAUGUGAAAGGAAAAUAUUUCCCCAACCAAAGAGGCAUCAUCCGCGUGAAAUGGGAGCCCAAGCUGCGAGCAGCGGACCUGCCCUUUCCCGCAUGAGGAAGGAGAAGAGAUUUAUAAACGAUACCGCUAAUUGUGGUUUUUCUACAAGAUUAAUUUUAUUGUCCCAUUAACUGCUCCUUCUGAAGCCAUUCAGGGGUGGAUUAUGUCUUAGCUUUCAUUUCCGGAGCUUUCGUUAAUAAUUAGGUCACCUUUUAGCCGGGAGCCCUGGCUGGCCGGGGCCAGGGAGACUUCUGCUGGAAGGGAACCCCUUAGCAUGUCACAGUGUUCUCACUGCCAAUGUCAGGUCGCCCCAGGCCAGAACGCUGUGCUUCCUCCAUCAUCUGGUAUUAGGAGUGAGGGGACAGGAAUUUGGGGCUUUGCUGGAUGGCAGACACUGUGCCCGGGGCACUUUUUCUCGUGAAACCUCACAGCAGCCUGGCAGGUCAGCACUGUUGGCCAUGACACAGGACAGGAGCCGAGGGUCACCUAACGCAGAUCCAACUGAGGACACUUGCCCCAAAGCCGGUGCUGUCCCCACCUCGUCAUACAGGCACCCCUCCCUCCAGAGUUUAGAGAGUCAGAGGAUUGAGUUUCACUCUCCUGAGACCGAAAAGCUAAACCAGCUGGAAAUAUUUCUAACAAGGUGCCUUGAACACACUGACACUGGUUCAUUGGUUUUUUGUUUUUUAUUUUUUAUUUUUUUUUUUGGUUGGUAAAAGAUGGGGCAGGUGGUGGGAGGUCUGGAGGUCAGAAUACAUUACAUCACAAUUGACUAAGGACCAGCUGAGGGCCAGACACGACCUAAUCUUAACCUUGACAUAAUCAUGACAAGGUAAAUCAUACUUUCUUCUAUUGUCUUUUUUAGGGCCGUACCUGUGGCCUAUGCAACUUCCCAGGCUAGAGGUCCAAUCAGAGCUGCAACUGCCGGGCUGCACCACAGCCACAGCUACACUGGAUCUGAGCGGUAUCUGCAACCUACACCGCAGCUUGUGGCAACACCAGAUCCUUAACCCACUGAGCGAGGCCAGGGAUCGAACCUGCAUCCUCAGGGACCAUGGUGUCGGGUACUUAACACACUGACCCACAACGGAAACUCCUUCUAUUUUCCAGAAGCAGUAACACAGGUUAUUACUGAAUGACUGACCCAUUGAUUGGAACCCAAACAUGCACGUUGAACAUGCAGGAUGUUUGUGAUUUUUCAGUGAUAAGUGACCCUGCAAUGUUUGAGCAGGUACAAGUCUCUGUGCACGACUGUGAUAUUAACUGUCAAUAUAGGAAUUCCUGUAUUGAUGUUUUUGGUCUACUGUCUAAUAGGGAAGCUGGAAGCUAAGUGGUUGGUUUUGCAGACUCCCUUGCAGAUAGAGAGGCCAAGACAUCCAGUCCUGACCAACGAGUACCACAUGCGGCCUUCCAGGAGUGUCCAUGGAAAGCUUUUGUUUUCCUGCUGAAGCGGGACAUACAGGCUGGCAGUACUCUUCAUCCUUCUUCCUGCCUUGAAUGUGAAAAUGAUGUAUGGAGCCUCAGCAGCCUUCUUCCGUCCAUGAGGCACCAACUCUGAGACUGGAAACCAACCCUCAAAGGUCCUCUCUGAAAUGGCUACACUGCACCAGCAACCAAGCACUCCUUGUUGUCCUUAAAAAGCAAAGCCUAGUUUGCUGAAGCCCUGUUGGGGCAGGAUUUCUGUUCCUUGAAGGGAGCAUAUUCCUGACUCACCACGUUCAGGCAGGUUGGACAUACCAGACUGGGCUUUUCCUGACACCCGUUCUCCACUUCUUCUGUUUUCUCAAGGCAGGUGUCUGCUCCGAGUCAAAACAUGUUGUCUCACCUCCCUUGCAGUGAAGCGUGGCCCAGUGAGAAAAUUCUGGCAAGAAGGAAAAGGGCAGAAAUGUUGUGUGGCCGGCCACCCUCCGUAAAGGACAGUCUGUGCCCACUCCUUGCCUCUGAAGCCUUGGUCCCUCUCUCCUUCCUGCCACCUGCUAUGUCAGGGAGCUGGAAGGAGCUGGGGCCCCAAGGCCCACACAGCUGACCCCCCACCAGUCCCAGGCUCACUUGCCUUCAGACUCUAGAACCAGUUCUCUUCUGAGCCACUGUUAGGUGGGCUUUCCUGUCACAGUCAGACCUGAUUCCAGCUGUAUUAGUUUCCUGUGGUUUCUGUAACAAGUUACCAUAAACUUAGCGGCUUGAAAC
rnacentral:lncRNA from 1 species